AAGUGUCUUUGUUGCCCUUGGAAUGUCUGGAGACCCCCACCCUCAUCUCUGCCCAGGAGGUGAUUUAUGGAAUCCCCUGUCCCUCAGAAUGUCUGAAUCCCUUCAGCCGCACCCCUGC